rnacentral:rRNA from 1 species
UACGUAGGGUGCAAGCGUUACUCGGAAUUACUGGGCGUAAAGCGCGCGCAGGCGGUGAUGUAAGCCAGAUGUGAAAUCCCCGGGCUCAACCUGGGAACUGCAUUUGUGACUGCAUCGCUGGAGUGCGGCAGAGGGGGAUGGAAUUCCGCGUGUAGCAGUGAAAUGCGUAGAUAUGCGGAGGAACACCGAUGGCGAAGGCGAUCCCCUGGGCCUGCACUGACGCUCAUGCACGAAAGCGUGGGGAGCAAACAGG